AUAUAAUCGAUCUCCAGAUACGAUUUAUUGAAAGUAAGCAUUUUUAUCCUUUAACAUCGUUUAGGAAUUAUUAUUUUUCUUAUUUUUUUUUCCUUUGACGUAUGCAUUCCUCAUUCUGUAAUCCUGCAAGAUUAUCGUGUCUUUGAUGCGAGUUAUUAAGCUCUUUAUGACAUCGCCUCAAAGUUUGUAUCUCCGUAUCUAACAUAUGUCUUCAUUUCGAAAUCGCAGGAAUGAAAAAAAUGAGAGAAUUUAUCGAUUCUCCUUUUGUUUUUUAGUUUAUUUUCGAUGUCCAUUUUCUCUUUUAAAUAAGAUUUAUGCUUCGUUACGUCGUAUAUACUUUUUUGCAAACUGUUCGUUUACCUAAAUACAUAUCAGGAUGACAGAUCAGUGAUUUAGCCUGAUUUACACUCGACUAGUUUUGCAACUGAAAAGAGUAAUUAGUUGUUUCAGUGUUCCAAAUAGCAAUAUUUCGAAGAAAAGACAUUUUUUAAAAAGAAAAUACUGUAGUCGAUUAAAAGAAAAAUGUAGGAAACCCAUAUUUUAAAUUCCUCCACUCGAAGAUUCUUAUCCACGAGUAUAAUUUGGUGCGAUAUUCAUUUUUUUUACCCAUGAAUCAGCUAUGAAAUUUAUGUUUUUUUUGUACAUUCAGAAACGUUCUUUGAAGCAUUUUUCCAAUCGUAAACAGUAUUUUCACGCCUGAAUACUGCUUAGUAGUAAAAAAUCCAAACGUGUCGUGUUUUGUAAAGUUUUCGAAAAUUGACGAAAACAUGCGACAAAAUGGGUUACUGUAGCUCAUUCACACGUUUUGAACCGAAAAAUUGCACAAAAAUCAGAAGGAAAAGUAAAAAAAAAAAUAUUCGAUGACUCCAAUAAAAGUUCGGUAGCGAUGAUACAUGACGUAAUCGUAUUAAGGCCAAGAUGCAGUUAGACGACCUUGACUCCAACACUUCAGAUGUGGGUCGUUAGUCUGUUAAACCUUAGAUACUGUAUAAUAUACCGUGCAAACUACGUUAGUAACAAUGGAUAUCUCUCAGUUUUACUAAAACCAAUAAAUGUGACCUAAAAAAUUUUAUAAAUUGGGGAAGACUAUAAAUAACAAAAUUAGCACAUUAAUUUCCUAAGAAGACUGACAUUUUUCUCUUAAUUAUCUUGUUAUAUACUAACUAGGUCUUGUCAAUUAGAGCAAAAUAUCUGACCCAGUAUAAUAUAGUAUCGAUCAGAUAUAUAAAAUUUUGCUUAUUUUUUAAUAAUCGCUUAAUUUUUCUCUAUUAAUGAUUUGUGAAAUAAGGCGUAUUUUUUUGGGACCCGACUUUACCAUAUGAUGACGCAAACAGUUGAACUUUUAAAGGAGUAUCGAAUAUACACCCAUAACUGUCCUUAUAUCCAGAGAACAUUUUUAAAAAAUGUGCAUAAAUAUAUAUCCAAUUUACCCAAAAAUUGCUUAAACUUUAUAACUGUUUUUCAACCGUAAAUUCGGUCAUUUUAAAUCGAAAUAUAAAGUUUUUCUGACAGAUAGAGAGGGAAAAAAUAGCGUUAAAUGUGAGGUAGUCGGUUCUUGUUAUCCUGUCAAGUUCUUUGAUUUAAGAAUGACGAAUGGAGCAAUGAAUGUAGGAGGUCAGUUGAACUUUUUAAGUAGACGAUAGCGAACCAUUGGGUGAAGUAACACCGCGCUUCUUUAUAUCACAAGCUCUUAGUACGGGAUCGUUAUGAAAACAGCUAUUAGUUGGUGAUUAAAUUGCCGUUAAUCGCCGUUGUUGACUCACCAGGGUGUACCACUUAUGCAACGACGGCAUUGAACCGCCGAUUAUUCUCUGUUAGCUGCAAUUUCUCAAUUUUAAAACCAGACGAUUACUUAAAAGAAAUUUAUCUUGUCGUUUUAAAUAAAUUCAGAAAUAUCUGCCGGAAUCGUAGAAUUUUAUUCAAUUUGUGCGUGAAAUUAAGUUUUGCAAAUGCUCCAAACAUUCGGGAAUGAAAGCAUGCCAUUAAAUUCGCUAGGAGAUAUUCAUUCUCUCUAUUGCAGAAGUAUUUUAAUUAUUACGAAAAGAUAAUUUCGAAAAUUUGAUAGCCCAGAGUAUUGUAGAUCCUAAAACUACGAGUUUGUCUUUUAAACUAAUUGCUAAUUUAACGUGUAACAGGAUUGAACUACAUUCAGGUGAAUGACUACGCGAAGAAGGAGAUGAAAAGGAGAUACUCCCAUUGGGCCUACCUUGACGCUAAUUACUCACAGGAAUGUCCCUGGGCUCUGUACAUUCACAAAAUAUCUUUUGUAACACAUCUUUAAUGACAAUGAGCCGUUCUUUGGAUGCUUCGAGUGUUUCCCGAAUUAAUUCUUUUUCGCGUAGUAUACUAAUGUUAGAGAAACGACGUAAUUUUCGACACGAAAUUUCGUGCUCUUACAACCGAGAUUUUUUUUUUUAUUAUUAUUGCAAUUUUUUUUUCCUUUAAAGUUUAGUAGGUCUUAUAAUGCUUUCAUUUACUUAGAAUUUUUACAGUUGCUAACGUCUUUCUUAAUUUAGAAACUCCGUAGUUUAUUUUUAAAGAAAAUUAAAAAUUAAAAAAGGAAAAGGAAGAAUAUCUUUAGUUAGCAAAUCGAUACGGAAGCAUGCGAGAUUCUGGAGAUUGAAAACACGAAAAUAAUCAUGAUAUUCAGACGAAAAGGGAGGUUUCUGUAUGUAAACAAAUAUCAGGAUCUGUAAAAAUUACUAUCAUCACUACACUGCAUACAAAAAUUGUAAAAAAAAAAAAAAAAAAUAUAUACAAGCUUAGAUAUUUGUUUGCAUUUUAAUAAUUAUUUACAGAAAAAAAAAUUACGUUUGUAAAUCGAUUAUCUUGAUAAAGAUGUUAGAUUUUCUGUUUAUAAGUUAAAACUACGUGAUAAACAGAUAAAAAAAAAUAAAAAAUAAAUGCUAGUAGUAAUCAGUUGAUAGCAGAAUCUAAGUUCUGAUCGCAGACCCUUUACAAUCUAAAAGAACCAUCAGGGCUGUUCUACUCGCUCUCUGACAGUACAUGCUGAGACCAUUUGGACUCUCAAAGGAAAAUCGAUAAAUCGAUGAUAAAAACGAUUAAAGGCAGGGGAACAUCCCGGCUAAGAAAGCGGUUACAGUUGACAAAUGACUAGGUACACCACAGUUGUCUGUCAAUAAAGGGCAAGUGUUAUGAAUAAUAUCGACGUUAUUUCGGAUAAAAAAAUGAAAUUUAUAGUUUAAAAACAUCUAAUUUAACUUUUCGGAAGGAGAAUGAUUGAGAGAAUUUUCGUGUUCUGAGAUUUCGUAAUUGGUACGUGUGUUAAAGAUUUCCGAAAGUGGGAAUUUUUACGAUUUAAAAAAAAAAUCGAUUAUUGUUACUAAGCGACAGUUAUAAAUCGAAAUUUUGACGAAUAAUCGAUGUUAAAAUCUGUUAAUCGAAAAAUUAUACUGUAAAAUUCGUCAAUUAUUUGUGAUAACUGGAGGAAGAAGAACAGAUAAUUGAAAAACACGGUUAAUCCAGACUAUACUUUUUAUUAUGAUUAAAACUAGUUAAUGCGCAUGCGCAGACAGUCGGUCCAGGCUUUAGGAAGGGAUAAAACUCGAUUUUCACUUCGUUAAAAAAAAUCGAUUGGCAGAAAGUAAAAUUCUUAUUUUAAAUAAUUCUGUGACCAUGUUUAAUCCAAACAACGGAUAACCGAGUCCCGGAUGAUUGGUCUCUAGUGUGUUUCAGUAAGAAAUUUAUUUUUCUUAGAAGUUUUUAAAUAUUUUUAAUACCAUACUCACAUAGGAAUAGUUGUUCAUAGGAUGUUCUAUCAAAAAAAAAAAAAAAUCUUGCUUUUUCUCGAAUAAAUUCCGUUUUAAAUUUUCAAACAAGUCAAAUUGAAAAUUUAUAUCCGUCUAG
rnacentral:lncRNA from 1 species